CUUCUCCUCACACUCCAACCCUGCUCACCUCUCAGCUGGACAGUAAGGGACGUUUACAGCACACACUGACAACAUGCUGGGGACCCUGUGCACUCUCAUCACUGCUCUAACAUGUGUGAGUGCUGUGACGCUGGUGACACAGAAGCCUCCUGUUGUGACUCUGAGGAGAGGAGAGACAGCCACCAUGGACUGUAACCUGGGGACUGUGACUGGUAGUUCUGCUCGUUGGUACAAACAGAUUCCAGGAGGAGUUCCUCAGUAUAUUCUGAAGAACCAUCAUUCAUAUAGCUCUCCAGAGUAUGGCUCUGGUUUCUCCUCUCCAAAGUUCACAUCCACUCAUCAGUCACAAUCAGAUUAUCGUUUGAUCAUCAGCACUGUGGAGGAGAGAGACUCAGCAGUUUAUUACUGUAGCACAUGGGACAGCUCUGUCAGUGAGCACGUAUCACAGUGAUUUACACCGUGACAA